rnacentral:rRNA from 2 species
AGGAUUCCCCUAGUAACUGCGAGUGAAGCGGGAAAAGCUCAAAUUUAAAAUCUGGCGGCUUUGGUCGUCCGAGUUGUAUUCUAGAGAAGUGUUUUCCGCGUUGGACCGUGUAUAAGUCUCUUGGAACAGAGCGUCAUAGAGGGUGAGAAUCCCGUCUUUGACACGGACUACCAAUGCUUUGUGAUACACUCUCAAAGAGUCGAGUUGUUUGGGAAUGCAGCUCAAAAUGGGUGGUAAAUUCCAUCUAAAGCUAAAUAUUGGCGAGAGACCGAUAGCGAACAAGUACCGUGAGGGAAAGAUGAAAAGCACUUUGGAAAGAGAGUUAAACAGUACGUGAAAUUGCUGAAAGGGAAACGCUUGAAGUCAGUCGCGUUAUCUAGAACUCAACCAGGCUUGCUUGGCGUAUUUUCUAGUUAACGGGCCAGCAUCAGUUUUGACUGCAGGAAAAAGGCCAGGGAAAUGUGGCACCUUCGGGUGUGUUAUAGUCUCUGGUCAUAUACUGUGAUUGGGACUGAGGACCGCAGCACGCGCAAGUUGUGCUUAGGAUGCUGGCGUAAUGGCUUUAAACGACCCGUCUUGAAACACGGACCAAGGAGUCUAACAAACCUGCGAGUAUUUGGGUGGUAAACCCGAGUGCGUAAUGAAAGUGAAAGUUGGGAUCCCUGUCGUGGGGAGCACCGACGCCCGGACCAGACCUUCUGUGACGGAUCUGCGGUAGAGCAUGUUUGUUGGGACCCGAAAGAUGGUGAACUAUGCCUGAAUAGGGUGAAGCCAGAGGAAACUCUGGUGGAGGCUCGUAGCGAUUCUGACGUGCAAAUCGAUCGUCAAAUUUGGGUAUAGGG